rnacentral:lncRNA from 1 species
AGGAGAAGGCGUGGCGAGCAUAUCGGUUCGUCGGUUCAGCCGUAACACCGGUGGCUCUACCACCAGCAGACUCAUCGCUUAACCCAUGGCAUCCAGAGCAGGUGGAGGUGUCGGUGUAAAAUCUGAUGGAGGUGUCGGUGGAGAAGCCGGUGGCGGAGCCGAUGGUGGAGCGGUGGAGGCGUUGAUAUAUAUAUAUAUGUAUGUAAUUUUCUGUAAAUAUAUGUAAUUAUGUAUAUUACAUAAUUUGUGUUUUCUGAAUUAAAUUACUAGAAAAUUUUUUUUUAUUUUGUGUUUUUUUUUUUUUAAAUAUUUUUUGCAGAUAGUCACGUAAAGUCACAAUAAAAAAACGUGACUGAGUAGAUACAAUUGUUUUUAUGACUAAUGUGACAAUUAUAGUCACGAAUGAAACUGUGUCCAACAUGUGACUAUUUUAGUCACGAAUUAUCACGGUUAAUUUUGGUCACGACCGUAUAGACACAUUUUUUUCGUGACUUUUCGUGUUGUAAAAUCUGAUGGAGGUGUCGGUGGAGAAGCCGGUGGCGGAGCCGAUGGUGGAGCGGUGGAGGCGUUGAUAUAUAUAUAUAUGUAUGUAAUUUUCUGUAAAUAUAUGUAAUUAUGUAUAUUACAUAAUUUGUGUUUUCUGAAUUAAAUUACUAGAAAAUUUUUUUUUAUUUUGUGUUUUUUUUUUUUUAAAUAUUUUUUGCAGAUAGUCACGUAAAGUCACAAUAAAAAAACGUGACUGAGUAGAUACAAUUGUUUUUAUGACUAAUGUGACAAUUAUA